rnacentral:rRNA from 1 species
CAGCAGGCGCGAAACCUCUGCAAUAGGCGAAAGCCUGACAGGGUUACUCUGAGUGAUUUCCGUUAAGGAGAUCUUUUGGCACCUCUAAAAAUGGUGCAGAAUAAGGGGUGGGCAAGUCUGGUGUCAGCCGCCGCGGUAAUACCAGCACCCCGAGUGGUCGGGACGUUUAUUGGGCCUAAAGCAUCCGUAGCCGGUUCUACAAGUCUUCCGUUAAAUCCACCUGCUUAACAGAUGGGCUGCGGAAGAUACUAUAGAGCUAGGAGGCGGGAGAGGCAAGCGGUACUCGAUGGGUAGGGGUAAAAUCCGUUGAUCCAUUGAAGACCACCAGUGGCGAAGGCGGCUUGCCAGAACGCGCUCGACGGUGAGGGAUGAAAGCUGGGGGAGCAAACCGGAUUAGAUACCCGGGUAGUCCCAGCUGUAAACGAUGCAGACUCGGUGAUGAGUUGGCUUUAUGCCAACUCAGUGCCGCAGGGAAGCCGUUAAGUUUGCCGCCUGGGGAGUACGGUCGCAAGACUGAAACUUAAAGGAAUUGGC